rnacentral:rRNA from 1 species
AGUGAACGCUGGCGGUAGGCUUAACACAUGCAAGUCGAACGGCAGCACAGUAAGAGCUUGCUCUUACGGGUGGCGAGUGGCGGACGGGUGAGGAAUACAUCGGAAUCUACUUUUUCGUGGGGGAUAACGUAGGGAAACUUACGCUAAUACCGCAUACGACCUACGGGUGAAAGCAGGGGAUCUUCGGACCUUGCGCGAUUGAAUGAGCCGAUGUCGGAUUAGCUAGUUGGCGGGGUAAAGGCCCACCAAGGCGACGAUCCGUAGCUGGUCUGAGAGGAUGAUCAGCCACACUGGAACUGAGACACGGUCCAGACUCCUACGGGAGGCAGCAGUGGGGAAUAUUGGACAAUGGGUGCAAGCCUGAUCCAGCCAUACCGCGUGGGUGAAGAAGGCCUUCGGGUUGUAAAGCCCUUUUGUUGGGAAAGAAAAGCAGCAGGUUAAUACCCCGCUGUUCUGACGGUACCCAAAGAAUAAGCACCGGCUAACUUCGUG